UACGGAGGGUGCAAGCGUUAUCCGGAUUCACUGGGUUUAAAGGGUGCGUAGGUGGGCAGUUAAGUCAGUGGUGAAAUCUCCGGGCUUAACCCGGAAACUGCCAUUGAUACUAUCUGUCUUGAAUACCGUGGAGGUAAGCGGAAUAUGUCAUGUAGCGGUGAAAUGCUUAGAUAUGACAUAGAACACCAAUUGCGAAGGCAGCUUACUACAGGGAUAUUGACACUGAGGCACGAAAGCGUGGGGAUCAAACAGG
rnacentral:rRNA from 1 species